rnacentral:rRNA from 1 species
GAUGAACGCUAGCGGGAGGCUUAACACAUGCAAGUCGAGGGGCAGCAUAGGGUAGCAAUACUCUGAUGGCGACCGGCAAACGGGUGAGUAACGCGUAUGUAACCUACCCUGUACAGGGGGAUAACCCGGAGAAAUUCGGACUAAUAUCCCAUAACAAUAUCCGGGGGCAUCUUUGGAUAUUUAAAGUUCCGGCGGUACGGGAUGGGCAUGCGUAACAUUAGCUAGUUGGUAAGGUAACGGCUUACCAAGGCUUUGAUGUUAGGGGUCCUGAGAGGGUGGUCCCCCACACUGGUACUGAGACACGGACCAGACUCCUACGGGAGGCAGCAGUGAGGAAUAUUGGUCAAUGGGCGCAAGCCUGAACCAGCCAUCCCGCGUGCAGGAAGACGGCGCUAUGCGUUGUAAACUGCUUUUCCAGGGAGAGAAACUUGCGCACGUGUUGCGCAAUUGACGGUACCCUGGGAAUAAGCAUCGGCUAACUCCGUG